AUUGAACGCUGGCGGCAGGCCUAACACAUGCAAGUCGAGCGAGCGGCGGACGGGUGAGUAAUGUCUCGGAAACUGCCUGAUGGAGGGGGAUAACUACUGGAAACGGUAGCUACUACCGCACACCAUCAGAUCUGUCCAGGUGGGAUUAGCUAGUGGGUGGGGUAACGGCUCACCUAGGCGACGAUCCCUAGUUGGUCUGAGAGGAUGAUCAGCCACACUGGAACGGAGAAACGGUCCAGACUCCUACGGGAGGCAGCAGUGGGGAAUAUUGCACAAUGGGCGCAAGCCUGAUGCAGCCAUGCCGCGUGUGUGAAGAAGGCCUUCGGGUUGUAAAGCACUUUCAGCGAGGAGGCGUUACUCGCAGAAGAAGCACCGGCUAACUCCGUGCCAGCAGCCGAGGUAAUAC
rnacentral:rRNA from 1 species